rnacentral:rRNA from 1 species
AGCUACCAUGCAAGUCGAACGGAGAAUCAGCAAUGAUUCUUAGUGGCGAACGGGUGAGUAACGCGUAGACAACCUGCCUUCUAGAUGGGGACAACACUGCGAAAGUGGUGCUAAUACCGAAUGUUGUAUUAAGCCUGCAUGGGCUUGAUACUAAAGGUGGCCUCUAUUUAUAAGCUAUCACUAGAAGAUGGGUCUGCGUCUGAUUAGCUAGUUGGUGAGGUAAUGGCUCACCAAGGCGAUGAUCAGUAGCCGGUCUGAGAGGAUGAACGGCCACACUGGGACUGAGACACGGCCCAGACUCCUACGGGAGGCAGCAGUGGGGAAUCUUCCGCAAUGGACGAAAGUCUGACGGAGCAACGCCGCGUGAGUGAAGAAGGUUUUCGGAUCGUAAAGCUCUGUCUUUGAGGACGAAUGUGUCUAAUGUGAAUAAUGUUAGAUAAUGACGGUACUCGAGGAGGAAGCCACGGCUAACUACGUGCCAGCAGCCGCGGUAAUACGUAGGUGGCAAGCGUUGUCCGGAAUUAUUGGGCGUAAAGCGCGCGCAGGCGGGAUAUUAAGUCUGUUUUAAAAGUUCGGGGCUCAACCCCGUGAUGGAAUGGAAACUAAUAUUCUUGAGUGCAGGAGAGGAAAGUGGAAUUCCCAGUGUAGCGGUGAAAUGCGUAGAUAUUGGGAGG